GCAAGUCGAGCGCACCUUCGGGUGAGCGGCGGACGGGUUAGUAACGCGUGGGAAUAUACCCUUCUCUAAGGAAUAGCCUCUGGAAACGGAGAGUAAUACCUUAUACGCCCUUCGGGGGAAAGAUUUAUCGGAGAGGGAUCGGCCCGCGUUAGAUUAGAUAGUUGGUGGGGUAAUGGCCUACCAAGUCUACGAUCUAUAGCUGGUUUUAGAGGAUGAUC
rnacentral:rRNA from 1 species